CCUACGGGAGGCAGCAGUGAGGAAUAUUGGUCAAUGGGCGGAAGCCUGAACCAGCCAAGUCGCGUGAGGGAUGAAUGCGCUAAGGGUUGUAGACUUCUUUUGUCGGGGGAUAAAGUGACGGACGCGUCCCGUCUUGAGGGUACUUUGUGAAAAAGCAUCGGCUAACUCCGUGCCAGCAGCCGCGGUAAUACGGAGGAUGCGAGCGUUAUCCGGAUUUAUUGGGUUUAAAGGGAGCGGAGGUGGGGUGUUAAGGCAGUGGUGAAAGUCGGCGGCUCAACCCCAAAGUAGCGAUUGAUACUGGCAGCCUUGAGUGCGGCUGAGGUAUGCGGAAUGCGCGGUGUAGCGGUGAAAUGCUUAGAUAUCGCGCAGAACCCCGAUUGCGAAGGCAGCGUACCAUGCCGCCACUGACACUGAGGCACGAAAGUGCGGGGAUCGAACAGGAUUAGAUACCCGUGUAGUC
rnacentral:rRNA from 1 species